GAUCCUGGCUCAGGACGAACGCUGGCGGCGUGCUUAACACAUGCAAGUCGAACGAAGCACUUAAGAUUGAUUCUUCGGAUGAUUUCUUUUGUGACUUAGUGGCGGACGGGUGAGUAACGCGUGGGUAACCUGCCUCACACAGGGGGAUAACAGUUAGAAAUGACUGCUAAUACCGCAUAACCCGAUAGGAUCGCAUGAUCCAGACGGAAAAGAUUUAUCGGUGUGAGAUGGAUCCGCGU
rnacentral:rRNA from 1 species